AACGAACGCUGGCGGCAUGCCUAACACAUGCAAGUCGAACGAGACCUUCGGGUCUAGUGGCGCACGGGUGCGUAACGCGUGGGAAUCUGCCCUUUGCUUCGGAAUAACAGUUAGAAAUGACUGCUAAUACCGGAUGAUGUCUUCGGACCAAAGAUUUAUCGGCAAAGGAUGAGCCCGCGUAGGAUUAGGUAGUUGGUGGGGUAAAGGCCUACCAAGCCGACGAUCCUUAGCUGGUCUGAGAGGAUGAUCAGCCACACUGGGACUGAGACACGGCCCAGACUCCUACGGGAGGCAGCAGUGGGGAAUAUUGGACAAUGGGCGCAAGCCUGAUCCAGCAAUGCCGCGUGAGUGAUGAAGGCCUUCGGGUCGUAAAGCUCUUUUACCAGGGAUGAUAAUGACAGUACCUGGAGAAUAAGACUCCGGCUAACUCCGUGCCAGCAGCCGCGGUAAU
rnacentral:rRNA from 1 species